UCUUGGUUUACCCACCUCCCCUCACGCCGGACGGCACACGGAUAGGGACAAACCUCACCAGCGCGCCUGCAGGUCUCUGGGAGGCGGGAGUGCGCCUGCGCGGGCACGCCCGCCACAGCGCCCGUGUGUGUGGCAGGGGUUCAAUGACAGGAAGAUAUCCCUGAGGCUUCCAAUUUAUCCUCUUGCUGAACUGCACUGACAGAACUGUUAUUCUUGGUCCCCUUUGCUUUUCAGCAAGGUAGGAUGCUGAAGUUUUUCACUUGAACAUGAAAACCAGUCCAAAUCCAAUGGAGCCAGAGGGCAUAGAGGAUGAAGCCACUGCUUGAAGGCAAGUGAGAGCUAGGAGAGGUUUCCUUUUAUGCUGACAGACUCUCUAACCUUGCCACUGCAAUGGCACAUAAAGAGAUUAAUGAAAAUCAAGAUGACCCUGACCCAUGUUUUGCUGUUCUUGGAAAGCCUAGUCAUAAAUCUGUUGGAGUGGGUACAAAUAAAGAUAAAAAUAAUCCAUCAGCAAAUGUUACCCAUGUCAAUACAAAAAAAACCCAAAACUAAAUAUGAAGAGAGUCCACCUUCCAAGAUGACAUAUUUUUAUAAAACAAUAAACCAGUCUUCCAAUAAAAUUAACUUACCCAAAAGAGAAGGGUAGGACACCAGGAGAAGGAAAAAGCCAUAACAGAAACAUUUUGGCCAAGAUGAAUUUGCAAGUAUUUUAAGCAAAGAGAACCUAAUUUAUGCAAACAAUAUGGUUUAAGUCAUGGUGGUCUUAGUUAUCAAAACCAUGGAAUGUCAGGCAAAUGACUCAAAUAUCAUUUGUAUUAUGCUGAAAACUUGUUACUGAAGGCCUCAGUUUCAGGCUUAAUACACUCCUGUAUGAAAAAUGUAUGUGACAUAGCAGGAAAGCUUUUGACUAAUUCCAGUUUUGUUUCAUCAAAACAAAGCUAAAUCGUUCAUCUGAGGCAGUCAUAAGGCUGCAAUAACUGUAGAAGCCACAUUGAAUGAUUUUCAUUCUACCUUGAUAGUGUAAAAACCUGGAGGAGAUAACGUCUAGCAUAGCUCUGUGAAGACAAGUUCAAGAACAGAUACAAAGGCUCAGAAUUGAGGUCUGCAGCAGCAAAGACUGAAAUAUUGCCAAAAGAAAAGGAAAUUACCUGUAUGGAUGCAGUGGGUAACCACAUUAUUAAGCAAGGGUUGCCAAAAUGUUGCCAAAUUUAUGGGCUUGAUUGUGAUUGUAUUAUUGUCCGUAGACUGUCAUCUAAUCUAUCAGGAGAAUGCCAACAAGAAAGCAACAGAA